GUUUUUAUAGUUUAAAAAAAAAAUUUUGAUCUUGUAAAUCAAAGACAAGAAUAUUCUUUAAAAACU
rnacentral:tRNA from 1 species